rnacentral:rRNA from 1 species
UACGUAGGGUGCUAGCGUUGUCCGGAAUCAUUGGGCGUAAAGCGCGCGUAGGCGGCCCAGUAAGUCCGUUGUAAAAGUCAAAGGCUCAACCUUUGAAAGCCGAUGGAUACUGCUGGGCUAGAGUCCGGAAGAGGCGAGUGGAAUUCCUGGUGUAGCGGUGGAAUGCGCAGAUAUCAGGAGGAACACCGAUAGCGAAGGCAGCUCGCUGGGACGGUACUGACGCUGAGGCGCGAAAGCGUGGGGAGCGAACAGG